UGUUGGGCCUGAAAGAUUGGUGUUGGGAUUAUGAUUCAACAAGCUCAAUUUUGGUUGUUGGUUGUGAUCUCAGAAAGGAAGUGCGCAUUAGUCAAUUGGGGGUGUUGUGUAGUAAUACUAAUGGUAUUUGUGGAUUUGAGGCCCAACACGAAGCCAAGCCUGAGUGGAGUGAGAUCCUUCAACAAUUUUCAUUUUCAUUUCGUCGUGUUCUAGUUUUUCUCUCUGUGUUUCACUUAUGCCUCUCACCGAAGCUUGCUCCACCGUCUCGGCACCGACAGAGCUGAGCUAAAACAGCCAAUAGUACCACCAUUCAAAAACUUGUGUCCUCCUCUUUCUCAAUCUAGCGUUAAUCUCAUCCAAAAUUCAAGCCAUUCUCAAAAUCUAACCAAAUCAGUCAAGAACCCUAAAUGCUAAGAAGUGAAACUAAACGAAGAAUGAGGGGAAUCAAGCCACUUCACCUUGGGGAUUUGAUUCCCAUCAAUGGAAGCUACAUUAUGGUGAAGAGAUCGAAGCAAAUAGAGGUAGAGAAGGACGAUAUAACAGCGAGACAGUGAUUCGUCUCGAAGAUUGUUGAAGCAAAGAAGAGGAAGAUGAAGCAAGAACACUAGAGACUCUUCAAUGUGAUUCAAGAGGAAAUCGAUAAGGGAAGAAACCAGACAAAGAUACAUGAGCAGGAGAGAAAAAGAAGAUUUUGCAAAUCUCUUGUCCAUACGCGUAUGAGGGGUCUCAUAUGUGUAUAGCCACUCAGCCAUGCCUUCCAGGAUACGUGUACCACCAGUAAGGAUGUAAAAAUCAAGCUUCUGCCCAUACUCGUAUGGGAGGGCCCAUGCGCGUAUGAGGCCAGCCAACCAGGCCCCCUUCUGCGCAGCCAGAGCCUUACGUGUAUGGCUCCAGCUACGGCAUACGCCCUACCCUGGGCCAUACGCGUAUGAGACAAUGAAAAAAUAGGUCAUAUGCGUAUAGGUGGAGGCCAUACACGUAUGGCACGACAUAGAUCUUACAAAGCCCAAAUUUUGUCUAUUUAGCCGAAAAAUGCGAAUUUCCAAGGGUUGGAUGAUUUUUUAGUACAGAGAAAGCGUUUUGAAGGUUGGAGCACUGAAGAAUUCGUGGUGGAUCAAGGAUUUCAUGAAAUUUUAUGCUUGAAGACCUCUUUUCUUCCAUUAAUUUGUAAUGUCUAUACUUUCUGUCUUGUUUUUCUUUAUUGUUAUGAGUUGUUAAACCCCCCAAUGAUAUGGGGUGUCCCUGAUUCGGAUUUAUGAUACAGUUCUAAAUUUCAACCUUCUAAUGACUUUGAUUUUGUGA